AACAAAGAAAGUCACUUUCCCAAAUUCCCAAUUCACGAACCCUAAUCUUAUUUGUUAGAUUUUCUAUGGUUGCAAUUCAUUGUCAUUUUCUCACCCUAAUCCAUUUCAGUCCCUCACUCCGUAAAUCAUUCGCGAAUCAAAAUCAUUUUCUUCUCCACAUUUAUCUGUUUCGUAGCGGUAGUCUCUGAGCCACCGGCCCACCGUCGAACAAAGCCCCCACACCUGCUCCCGUGAGCAACAGAUUUCUAAAUGCAAGAUAUUGUGGAUGUGCUGGAGCUAUCACAGCACCAAGAUGUCUCGUGAAACUACACAAAGAAGAAAGUUUUGAAUGGAAGAUUUUAAUGAGAGCAAGAAAGAGUAAAGAUAAGUUUACGCCGUGGAAGAAGUUAGAUGGUAACGAGUUCGGUAUACAAAACUCCAUGAAUCUACACGUAUGGUUCCCAAUAAGCUCAGGAAAAGAGGUACCUCUUAGUUUUUCCCAGGCUUUGACUUAGGCUUCUGGUUAGCUUAUAUAGUGUGUCUAAACAAUUUUUAUUAGCGUACGUUAGAAAGCUUAUGUUUUUGUAAUUGUUAGUCGAAUAUGGACCUGGCAAAUCUCUUUAGAUUGCUUUAUCCAGUUUUUUUCUGUUUGAUGGAGAAAGAAAUAUGAUAUCCAUGUCCAUAGUUUUUGUGUCCAUGUCCAUAAUUAUAUUAUAACUAUAUUAUCCACAAUAAGGUAUCAAUAUGGUAUGCAUAAAGUACUUGUCCACAUAUACUAAAAAAUUAUGUAAGAUGAUUAAGAAUAUAAAAACUUGUCCAAGAAAACACAUCAAUGAAACUUAGUUCAUGAAACCUCAUCCACGAAAAUUUUAAAGAGAUUUUCUAUAUUUUUUAUCCAUCCAUGUCCACAUCUUUUUAUGUUCACGUAUUUUUCUUACAUGUUCACAAUUUUGCAUCCACACUUCUUAUGUCUAUACAUUUUUUUAUAUAAUUGUUGAAAUAUAUAAAAUAUAUAUAUGAAAAUGGAUGUUAAAAUAUAGAGAAAAACAAAUUACAAUUUAUUGUAAUAAUUAUACUUUCUUCAAAUGUCUUAAACUCUGAGAAAAAAAACAAAUAAAAACAUAAGAACUUUGCAAAAAGAACAAAGAAAAAGUUGAGAAAAAAUAAAUAAAAUAAAAAAAAUGCAGCCAUCCUCUAGUUUUUCUGAACCAAACGUGAAGGGUACUGCUGUAAAACCACAAGGGGUGGAAGAGGACAAUGUGUCCCUCAAGUGGAAAGUGCUUUAUCUUGUAAAAAAAGAGAAUAAUGUGUCUGAUGAUGUAACGCACUCUUAUAUUAGCUAUUCUAGUUGUACAGUUGACAAGAAAAACAUAAAUUAUCAUUCAAUGGAUAACGGUGGCGGAUAAAUCUGAACAGAAUUUUACCAAAGCUGACGUGUCCAAAAUCAGACCACAGAUCCAUCUUUUGAUUCGUCAAUACCACUCACAAAGGCAACCCCCAACCACAAAACCUUGACUUCAAAAGAGAAGGUUUGGCUCUGAACCCUAGCCACCAAAUCUAUGAAUAAUGUUUGUAAACCUCAUCCACCACAACUAUUAUUCAUUGUGUGAUUAAACUUGUAAUAUGUUGUGAUUAGUUUAUUUUCUAUAACAUUAUAUAUAUAUAUUUUUUUUUUCUUUAAAAUAUAAUAUUAUGUAUAACACUGUAAUAUGUUGUAUUAGUUGUAUUAGUUAUAAAAUUUAAUAUAAAAUUAUUUGUUUUAACAGUUAUUAGUUGUAUUAGUUGUACUAGUUGUAUUAUUUUUGAAAAAAAUGCAUUUUUAUUUUUUUUGUUCUCGAAACCGAAGAAGACAUCUACGGAGCCAAAAGGUUGCAGUAGAAGAAGAUUCAAAAUUCUUUUUUUUCAAAAAAAAAAAAAUCAUAAAGAAGCCAGCACGAUCAAGGUGAAGAGAAUGAACAAGCAUUCAUGAUUGGAUUUGGACUUGUGUUGGAACCACUUACUCUUUGUUUUUUGUUUCAGAUUUAUUGUAGUUUAAAGACAUGUAGUGUAUUUUUACACUUAAGUUAUAUUGUAUUUUUUGACAAAUGA